UCUAGACAUAGUGAGAAAGAUAAUGUCACUGAGAAUGAGCAGAUUUUACCCGGGACAGGUUUUUUAUUUUUUAUCAUCAAUCUGUCAGUAUUAUCAAAUCAAUUAUUUCAGAGUAUCUUCAUCAGAGUGCUUUACAUUUGAUUUGAUCAGUUUUUCAUAUGAAGGCAGCAGAUAUUCGGAAUAACGUGCAAUGCUACACCAGGCUGACAGUGGUCCCUGAGGAUGACUUGUGGUUGCUUUGGGAUUUCCUUGUCUCCAGAGAACACAACACUCAUCGUAACACAUCCACUGCCUUCUGCAUGUCAUCUUUGGACAGGUCGAGGUAUUUAGACAUCAAAGUCACCACCAGACGACUGCACUGCUUAACAGAAACCACAGAAUGAGAAGGAGAAGGAGAAGGAGACAGCCAAAGAGAAGCUUAAUGUGUUCCUGUGGGUCACAGGUUACUGAUUCUGCCAAGCAGGACAUGUUCUUGGAUUCACCUCAAGUAAUUCCCAACUAAUAUUUCUUGCAGCCAUGAUUGUGACUGAAUGUAAUAAUGUCCCAUAUUUUCACCUGUAAAAUUUAAUUAUUUAGCUUCAUAAUUAAAAAAAGAACAGUUACAAGGGACAUUGACACACACUUGUGCACUUGAAAUAAGACUUGUUUCUAGCUUUUCAUUCAUGACAGCAAUUAAUAUUUCAAAUUGGAAAUUUGCCGUUUUUAGAGUAACAGUUUUCAAUUCAUGAUGUGUGUGUGUGUGUGUGUAUAUAUAUGUAUGUGUAUAUAUAUAAUUCACACUAUACAGUACAUACAUAUAUAUACAUUUGUUGCUUUGCAGCCUGAAAUGAAGAUGGACACAGUUUUUGUUUUAUCCGGAUGUAUUAUAGCAUCCAAGUGAAAGAUAUAACACAAACAUGUCAGGAAAAAAAAAACAGAAUCACUGAGUGAUAAUACAGCUGGAUAAAUCAUAAUCUGUGUUUUGUCUUCAUUUCAGCAAAAUGUGAUUAUUUUAAAGGGCGGUGAUUCGUUUCUUUACCCACUGUAUAUAUCUGUACUGUAUAGUGUUCUUUUUGUAUUAGUAUUUAGUGAUAUUUUAGUAUUAGUAAUUUUGUUUUGUUAUUUUUAGUCGUUUUUUUAUGGCCAUAUGCUUUUUAUUAUUUUUAUUUUAGUUUAAUUAUUUUAGUACAUAAAGUUAAACUAAGUUAAAACGCUUUACCUUACCCUGAUAUUAUAUUAUAUUAUAUAAUAAAUAAUACAAUUAACCAUUUAUUGUUCACACUCAAGUUAAGACAUGUUGAGACAUGUCAUGCUCAGAAACAAGUUCUGAAGAAACUGAUUUCAUAACCAUUUUUGAUGCAUUUUUUUCCCAUUUUGAGAGCCUCAACAUUUAGCAUUUAAAUUAAUGUUAAAUUCAUGUCCCAUUCGAGUGCAUUUUUAUGUUGUAUAAAAUAAACAAGCCCUGUGCA
rnacentral:lncRNA from 1 species